rnacentral:rRNA from 1 species
CUGAAUAACUAUGCAGAUCGCACAGUCCUCGAACUGGCGACGUAUCUUUCAAAUGUCUGCCUUAUCAACUUUCGAUGGUAGUUUACACGGCUACCAUGGUGAUAACGGGUAACGGAGAAUUAGGGUUCGACUCCGGAGAGGGAGCCUGAGAAACGGCUACCACAUCCAAGGAAGGCAGCAGGCGCGCAAAUUAUCCAAUCCCAGAACGGGGAGAUAGUGACGAAAAAUAACGAGACGGUUCUCUAAGAGGCCCGUCAUCGAAAUGGGUACAAUCUAAAUCCUUUAACGAGGAUCUAUUGGAGGGCAAGUCUGGUGCCAGCAGCCGCGGUAAUUCCAGCUCCAAAAGCGUAUAUUAAAGUUGUUGCGGUUAAAAAG